UAGACAGGCUAGUAGAGGUUUGGGAUGUGU
rnacentral:piRNA from 1 species